AAGAAAGUGGCAGAGUGGCCAUGUGGUUGGCUUGAAACCAUUUUAUGGGGGUUCGAUUCCCUCCUUUCUCG
rnacentral:tRNA from 1 species